UCAAUAAGCGGAGGAAAAGAAACCAACAGGGAUUGCCUUAGUAACGGCGAGUGAAGCGGCAACAGCUCAAAUUUGAAAUCUGGCCCUUGGGUCCGAAUUGUAAUUUGUAGAGGAUGAUUUUGGUGCGGUAUCUUCCGAGUUCCUUGGAACAGGACGCCUUAGAGGGUGAGAGCCCCGUACGGUUGAAUGCCUAGCCUCUGUAAAUCUCCUUCGACGAGUCGAGUAGUUUGGGAAUGCUGCUCUAAAUGGGAGGUAAAUUUCUUCUAAAGCUAAAUAUUGGCCAGAGACCGAUAGCGCACAAGUAGAGUGAUCGAAAGAUGAAAAGCACUUUGAAAAGAGGGUUAAAUAGCACGUGAAAUUGUUGAAAGGGAAGGAUUUGUGACCAGACUUUUUCUGGGCGGAUCAUCCGGGGUUCUCUCCGGUGCACUUCGCCCAGUAAAGGCCAGCAUCGGUUUUCGGCGUGGGAUAAAAGCAGUAGGAAUGUGGCUCUCUACGGGGAGUGUUAUAGCCUAUUGUAUAAUACCGCGCUGGGGACCGAGGUUCGCGCUUCUGCAAGGAUGCUGGCGUAAUGGUUAUCAAUCACCCGUCUUGAAACACGGACCAAGGAGUCGAACAUUUGUGCGAGUGUUUGGGUGUUAAACCCUCACGCGUAAUGAAAGUGAACGGAGGUGAGAGCCCUUACGGGUGCAUCAUCGACCGAUCCUGAAGUUUUCGGAUGGAUUUGAGUAAGAGCAUAACUGUUCGGACCCGAAAGAUGGUGAACUAUGCGUGGAUAGGGUGAAGCCAGAGGAAACUCUGGUGGAGGCUCGCAGCGGUUCUGACGUGCAAAUCGAUCGUCAAAUCUGCGCAUGGGGGCGAAAGACUAAUCGAACCAUCUAGUAGCUGGUUACCG
rnacentral:rRNA from 1 species